rnacentral:misc_RNA from 1 species
ACUCUUCAACCCACCGGUUCCUCGUGUUUGGAUCGAGUUGGUGUUUGGAUCUUGAAUGUUGCUGGCUGUUUGGAUAGUCUUCGGACUUGAAGGAUAAGCGAAGCUCGUUCGUAAUACAUUAGCAUCUCAAUUUCGAACUUCGGAUUGACUCAGUGUGAUAGACUGUUCGCUGAGGACAUGUUUCGACAUGGCCGAAUCAAGAUAGCUAGAAGCUUCUAAUCCCCCGCUAGUCAAAACUAUAAG